GUCUUUUGAAACUCCCUUUCUACUCCUUUUAUUAACAAAUACCCUUCCAAAAUUGUGUGCAUAACUGCAGAUACUACUUUCAACACCAUAUACUGCAAAAUAAACCAUAUUAGGUAUAUUGGAGGAAGAAAUGUGUGGCUAGUAUCAGGUUAGCAUUCAUGGACAUCUGCCAAAGCACACAGCGUAUCAUAAAGGGUUCCCUGCUGACCCUCACAGCUCCUUAAUCUGCUCCUUGUCGUUUCUGCCUCUUUUUUCUCCAAGCAGUGGCAACAGCAAAGAGAAAGAGUACUAGCCUUCACUUGGCUUGCCCUCCUGGUGCAGAUUAGACCAAGAAGAUGAGUGGCAGUGGGCAGUUUACCAGCAAUCAUUACUGCUCACUGAAAAUACCCCCAACAACACAUCUCCCUCUGUCAACUGUGGUGUAGCAGGUCUGCUCAGUAACACUUACUGAAGGCAUCACUUUAACAGAAAUCUGUGUUGGAUCCCAUGACAAAGCCAUCCUUCAACUACAAACAAGCAAACAAACAAAUGACUCCAAAAUGCCUGGCCAUGUGAUUCCAUCUUGAGAGAACUGAUUUUCUACAUCUCAUCUGAAUGGAAGUACAAUUUCAACCUAGUUCCUCUUUCUUUAUUUGUGUCAGAAGCACCACAGUACAAUUAAGAAAUAGAUCAGAUAAUUUUCAUUCAACAACAGGCAACAUCAUUUGGGGCAGCUAACAUCAAACCUUCCACAGUGCAUAUCGAGGGGCAUAAGAACAUUGCCACAGCUGCGAACCAUCCUGUUCCUCUACACUUUUGUAAAGGACCACAUCAGUGAAAAAACUUGUUUUCUUAGGUUCAGUUUGGUUCUGUGAACUCCACUGCAUUGUCUACUGUCAAGCAAUCCAGUUUUUGGUGUGACUGGGGCCUAGACUUUCCUGGGCAUCCAUUUUAAGAGGUGGGAAAGUUCUUGGUGCUGACAUUCUCUGUUGUUUCUUCAAGAUUCACAGAUGUUCUGAAAAAACUUUUCCAUGAUUUUAAUCUGGGAGGGAUUCAAUGGUAGCCAAAGGACAGAUGCACAUUUGAUUUAAGUCUCUUUUAGAGAUAUGAGUGAGAAGUAAUGUGCUAAACCUUGAAGAAGGGCAAAGACUUAGUGAUUCAUGGCUUCCUAUAAUUGACCUCAUUAGGACAGCAGUAAGUUGAUUAUGCUAUGCUGUGUGAUGCAAUCACAUUGAGUGUAUAUUGCCGUAUGCAAUGCGCUUAGU
rnacentral:lncRNA from 1 species